GGGGCUGACAUGGCUUUGACAGCGUGUAGAGGUGGUAAGCAAGCAUGCAGAGCGAUGAUGGCAAUGCUCUCAAAUCUCAGUCAUUACUAAAUUUAACUGGCGAAAACACUUACGCUCUCGCUGCUUGAUCGAAGUAUAGUAGAUCUGCUUUAUCUUAGCCCUAGGAUGGUUAAGACGAGACAUCACCCGAUUGCCCUCGCUCCGAGGCGUUUCGACAAGGUGGUGCUGGAAUAUCGGAGAUAGGGUGCGGCAAGCCUCGGGCCAAACCCGAAAUUUAGAGGAUAAGCCACAGGUUGGUAGUCUUGAGCCUGCCUGCGGUCGAAAAGCAAGUCUAGACUAAGCAUGUAGAAACCUUAUCGUUUCCGCGUUUGGACGAGGGUUCAACCCCCUCCAGCUCCACAG
rnacentral:tmRNA from 1 species